CUCCAUCCAUCAUUUUAACUGCUUAAGCAGGGCCUUUCAAUUUCUUUACGAAGUGGAUACUUUCUGCUUCAAAACGACAAGCUCUAGCUGGCUAACAGCUUCAAUAAUCAUUAUUGAUUCGUUUAAUUGGCCUUAAAAACUAAGUGUUCACUAAAGGAAGAAGAUGACUGAUCAAACUCAAAAUUCAGAGUCGGAAAGCAGCUCGAACUCAUCGUCAUCGUCCUCGUCGUCACCUUCCUCACCGGGGUCAACCCACUCACCCUCUAACCCAAACUCUAACAUUGUCCCAUCAAAACCCCAACAACAACAACAACAACUAGACCUGCAAGACCCUCAGUCCCCCACCAAAAAUAUCAAACGCUUAAGAGACUCCAACAAACACCCAGUCUACCGUGGAGUUCGCAUGCGGAACUGGGGCAAAUGGGUGUCUGAAAUUCGCGAGCCCCGCAAGAAAUCCCGCAUUUGGCUCGGUACCUUCCCUACCCCUGAAAUG
rnacentral:misc_RNA from 1 species